CAGCCCCAUCAUUGCAGGGACGUGGAGCUGGUGGGAUCACACCAUGGCCUGGGUCCCUCUCCUCCUCGCGGUGCUCACCUACACCUCAGGUUCCCUGGUCCAGGCAGCGCUGACUCAGUCACCUCCGAUGUCGGUCAAAGUGGGAGACACCGUCAAGAUCACCUGCUCAGGGGGUGGCAGCUACUAUGGCUGGUACCAGCAGAAGGUCCCUGGCAGUGCCCCUGUCACUGUGAUCUAUGAUAACAGCGAGAGACCCUCGAACAUCCCUUCACAAUUCUCCGGAUCCACAUCCGGCUCCACGGGCACAUUAACCAUCACUGGGGUCCAAGCCGAGGACGAGGCUGUCUAUUUCUGUGGUGGCUGGGACGACAGCAGUUAUGCUGGUAUUGUGAUACAGAGAGAAUGUGGAAAUGAGGUUCCCUGGAGCAGCAUCACUGAGUCAGCCGUCCUCAUUGUCAGCCACCAUGGGAGAAACCAUCAAGAUCACCUGCUCUGA